rnacentral:tRNA from 1 species
CUGACGUGUAGCUCAAUUGGCAGAGCACCCGGCUGUUAACCGGGCGGUUGAAGGUUCGAGUCCUUCCAUGUCAGCCA